UACGGAGGGUGCAAGCGUUAUCCGGAUUUACUGGGUUUAAAGGGUGCGUAGGUGGGUCUGUAAGUCAGUGGUGAAAUCUCCGAGCUUAACUCGGAAACUGCCAUUGAUACUAUAGGUCUUGAAUUAUCUGGAGGUAAGCGGAAUAUGUCAUGUAGCGGUGAAAUGCUUAGAUAUGACAUAGACCACCAAUUGCGAAGGCAGCUUACUACGGAUAUAUUGACACUGAGGCACGAAAGCGUGGGGAUCAAACAGG
rnacentral:rRNA from 1 species